rnacentral:rRNA from 1 species
UCCGUAGGUGAACCUGCGGAAGGAUCAUUAGUGAAUCUAGGACGUCCAACUUAACUUGGAGUCCGAACUCUCACUUUCUAACCCUGUGCAUCUGUUUUAAAAUUGGCUAGUAGCUCUUCGGAGCGAACCACCAUUUUUCACUUAUACAAACACAAAGUCUAUGAAUGUAAACAAAUUUAUAACAAAACAAAACUUUCAACAACGGAUCUCUUGGCUCUCGCAUCGAUGAAGAACGCAGCGAAAUGCGAUACGUAAUGUGAAUUGCAGAAUUCAGUGAAUCAUCGAAUCUUUGAACGCACCUUGCGCUCCUUGGUAUUCCGAGGAGCAUGCCUGUUUGAGUGUCAUGAAAUCUUCAACCCACCUCUUUCUUAGUGAAUCUGGUGGUGCUUGGUUUCUGAGCGCUGCUCUGCUUCGGCUUAGCUCGUUCGUAAUGCAUUAGCAUCCGCAACCGAAACUUCGGAUUGACUUGGCGUAAUAGACUAUUCGCUGAGGAUUCCAGACUUGUUCUGGAGCCGAGUUGGGUUAAAGGAAGCUUCUAAUCCUAAAGUCUAUUUUUUGAUUAGAUCUCAAAUCAGGUAGGACUACCCGCUGAACUUAAGCAUAUCAAUAGCCGGAGGA